CGGGAGAGCUCCCGGCGCUGCCGAGCCCGCGCCGCCCGAAUCCCCGGCAGGAGGAGAGGAAGGAGAUGGCGGGGCAGGAGAGGACCCGGCCGAAAGCCCCGGCGCGGCCGCACAGGGAGCGGCGGCGAGCCGGAACGCGCCUCGCUCCGCUGCGCCUGGCAGUGUGGCAGCGGGAGGCGGGGAGGGUGUGGAGGCUGCGGGCGGUCCCUGCCGGAGCCCCGAGGCUCCCCCGCCCCGCCCGGCCCAGCCCGGCCCGGCCCGCGCGGGGCCCCGGCUGUGCGAGCGAUUAAUUCAAGAUGGCGCCGGCGCCCUCCGCCCCCCCCCGCGCGCCGCCAUUUUGUCUCCUCCUCCAGACACCUCCGAGCCCCCCCCGGCCGGGCCCGCGGCCCCUCACCGGCCCCACUCGCCUCCCCCCGGGCCCGCAGCCACCCACCUUCACUCCGCGUUCCUCACGCCACCUCCCCCGCCGCCCCGGGCCGCGCCGGGCGUGCGGGAGCCGCCGGCGUAGAGCCCGCGGCCCGCUCCUGUGGCGGAGCCCUGGCGCGGCCUAGCUGCGGCCUCCUCGCGGCCUGCGCCGCGGCCUGUGCGGGCAGGGGGAGGCCCGGGCCGGGCGGCCGGCAGGGCCCGGCCCGCGGCUCUUACCGUGCGGGUGGCGGGCGGCGGCGCUCGCUCGGCGCGGCCUCUCUCAGCGCGACUGGGCCGAGCGCGGCGGCGGCGGCGGCGGCUGCGGCGGGGCGGGCGGGCGGGCGGGAGGGGAGGGAGGGGCCGAGCUCGGAGCUGAGUGGAAGCGGCCAAGCUCCCCGGGCCGGGCCCGCCGUCAGCACGUCACGUCACUGCCCGAGAGAGCCCAGGAGCAGGCGGAAGGGAGCGCGCCGCCACCGCCGCCUCGGGCCGCUCGCCCGCCCGCCCGCGGGGGCCGGUGCGGCCGAGCGGGCCGGGGGCCUGUGCGGGGCGGGCGAGGCGGCGGUCGGGGCGGCGGGGCGGGGGCGGCGCGGCGCGGCGGCGCUCGGUCCCGCGGCUCCUCCUGCCGCCGCCUCCGCCGCGGCUCGGCCGCGCCGGGUCGCCUGGGGCUCGGCGUGCGCCCGCGGAGCGCAGCGGUGCCCCGGGACCCCCUCCCCGCCCGACCCCUCCAUACCGGGCGACCCCCCCCCGCGCGCCGCCAGGCCCGCGGCCCGGCCCGGCCCGGCCCCGGAGUGCGGGCCGGAGGCUCCGCGGCCCCGCCGCGGGCUUGGACUCGGGUGUGCGCGGCGGGGAGCAGAUUUUAGGGCGCGGGGGCUCCGCGCUGGGGUGGACGCGGGCCGAGGGCCGCGGGUGGAGCGGCCUCGGGUCACCCCGGCGCGGGGCGCGGCUGCCGGCGGGAAUCGCGGGGAACAACAAGGAGCGCGGAAAGCAGCGGGCUGCGGUGCCGGGCCCCCGGUCCCCACGGAGAACACGGACGGCGCUCCGCGGGGGCCACUGGCACUCACGAAAGAGUUGGUCCUGAUCCAUGAAAGAUGCACCCUAAAGUUUUCGAGGCAUUAGAAAUUAG
rnacentral:lncRNA from 1 species